rnacentral:rRNA from 1 species
UCCCUAUGGGGCGCAGCAGGCGCGAAAACUUUACAAUGCUGGCAACAGCGAUAAGGGAACCUCGAGUGCCAGGUUACAAAUCUGGCUGUCGAGAUGCCUAAAAAGCAUUUCAUAGCAAGGGCCGGGCAAGACCGGUGCCAGCCGCCGCGGUAAUACA